UCGAGCGGGAUUCCCUUUCGGGGGAUGAGAGCGGCGCACGGGUGAGUAACGCGUAUGCAACCUGCCCCAAACAGGGGGAUAGCCCGGAGAAAUCCGGAUUAAUCCGCCAUAUUAUUAUGAAGUCGCAUGACUUUAUGAUCAAAGCUACGGCGGUUUGGGAUGGGCAUGCGUGACAUUAGCUAGUUGGUGAGGUAACGGCUCACCAAGGCUGCGAUGUCUAGGGGUUCUGAGAGGAUGAUCCCCCACACUGGUACUGAGACACGGACCAGACUCCUACGGGAGGCAGCAGUGAGGAAUAUUGGUCAAUGGGCGCAAGCCUGAACCAGCCAUCCCGCGUGAAGGAAGACUGCCCUAUGGGUUGUAAACUUCUUUUGUACAUGAAGAACGUUUCUUACGAGUAAGAGAGUGACGGUAAUGUACGAAUAAGCAUCGGCUAACUCCGUGCCAGCAGCCGCGGUAAUACGGAGGAUGCAAGCGUUAUCCGGAUUCAUUGGGUUUAAAGGGUACGUAGGUGGCCCUGUAAGUCAGUGGUGAAAACCUGUCGCUUAACGAUAGGCGUGCCAUUGAUACUGCGRGGCUUGAGUCCAGUUGAGGUAGGCGGAAUGUGUAGUGUAGCGGUGAAAUGCAUAGAUAUUACACAGAACUCCGAUUGCGAAGGCAGCUUACUAAACUGACACUGACGCUGAGGUACGAAAGCGUGGGUAGCGAACAGGAUUAGAUACCCUGGUAGUCCACGCCGUAAACGAUGCUCACUGGCUGUAUGCGAUACACAGUAUGCGGCCAAGCGAAAGCGCUAAGUGAGCCACCUGGGGAGUCC
rnacentral:rRNA from 1 species